GAAUUGCGAUAAGUAAUGUGAAUUGCAGAAUUCAGUGAAUCAUCAAAUCUUUGAACGCACAUUGCGCUCCUUGGUAUUCCGGGGAGCAUGCCUGUUUGAGAAUCAAUAAAUCCCUCACCGACUUGUACCGUUUGGCCUUUGGUCACCCGGAGCAUGAAGGUGGAUCUGAGUCCUUUGCGUCCCUCUCGGAAGCAAUGACUUUAAAUGCAAUGUCUGCAGCCUUACCCUCUUUUCGGGACUGGCUUUGAGUGCAUGAACUGUUUUAAUUAACCCAGAUUUCACUCGAUUGAGCCUUUCUCCAACGGAGGGUGCCGCGUGACUCAACCAUGACAUCCUUGCAACGUCGAAAAGCUUUUCGACACGGCAUCGAAUACUUGGUCUCAAAUCAGGUAGGAAAACC
rnacentral:misc_RNA from 1 species